CUGCACCACCUCCACCACCCCCGGCUCUCCUGGCCAGCAUGCCUCCCGAAGGGAAGCCCAGCAUGGAGCGAAGACACCCGCUCAGCUCUCAGCUCCGUCCUCAUCCCAGGCUGUGCGAGGGAUGCCUGGCGAAAAGCAUGAAUCAGCCCUUCUCAGAGCACACGGCGUGACGAGCUCCCGGCGGCUCCCCCGUGGGUUUGCCUCGCAGCCCUGCUGCGAGUGGGUUCUUUGUGGGGCUGAUUUCUUUGGGCAUCGCUGGCGAGGCAGAGCCACGGCUCCGGUGUCCUCACCGGGGGCCGGUUGCGCACCAAAUGCUUUCGCAUCUCUGCAGGCGUUGCAAAGAGCAGGGCUGCGCUUCUGUUGCCAUUAGAAUAAAUAAAAGUCGGAGGUUUUUUCCAUCUGUUCUUGCUAAUGAGGAGUCAGGCACAGGUGGGGAGAGCAGAAUGCAAUUGGUGGCGGAGGACACAGCGCUGGGGAUGUCAGCCAAGGGUUUCCGUCCCCAAACCAUGCCAUGGUCAGUUCCUGGAUGCUUUGGUGAGGCUGCACUGCCUUGAGCCUUGUGCAGGACCCACAGGGAAAGCAGGCAGCAGCACGGGGCACAGCGAUGCCCAGGCAAAGCACGUGCAGCCCGCGGGGAGCCCUGCAAGGCCACCGUGUCCUUGCCAGCUGGAGGUGACACAGGUGCGUGCGGCUGCUCGGCUGCUUUCCCUGGGACCCGUGCUUGCAGCAGAGCAGAUCUCGGGCUCCCCAUCCCUGCCGUGCUGGGGGAUGUGGUGGCCCUGCGAGUGCAGAGCAGUGGCCAGCGCCGGUGGAGCCGCAGCACAGCAGGGGAACGGCGUUUUUUUUGCUGCGACAGCUUUGCAACAGAUUCUUUGGCGGAGCUGACUGCAAACUGCAAUCCUAAACUGUAGGACGACUCCUUUUUCCAGCCUGGGAGUGUGAGAAACAAAUUUGUUUGGGUUAUAAAAACAUAUUAAAAAGCAACACAUUUUGUUUUGCAAUAUA